rnacentral:rRNA from 1 species
UACAGAGGUCUCAAGCGUUGUUCGGAUUCAUUGGGCGUAAAGGGUGCGUAGGUGGCAUGGUAAGUUGAAGGUGAAAUCUCGGAGCUCAACUCCGAAACUGCCUUCAAUACUGCUGUGCUCGAGGACUGUAGAGGAGAAUGGAAUUCACGGUGUAGCAGUGAAAUGCGUAGAUAUCGUAAGGAAGACCAGUGGCGAAGGCGGGUCUCUGGACAGUUCCGUGACGCUGAGGCACGAAGGUCAGGGGAGCAAACGGG